AUGGCCGGAGGCAGCGCAAUGCAGGCGGUGCUGGCGGCCCCCGGUGUGAAGGGCCGGAAGGUGCGCGCGUUCAAGGGCAGCGAGAAGGACGCCGUUGCCGGCGUCGUGCGCUCCAUCGCUGGCACCGAGGAGCAGGGCGCCUUCUUCGUCUUUGACCUCGCCAAGGUCGUCGACCUGUACAGCGGCUGGUGCCGCGCGCUGGACGGCGUGCGGCCCUACUACGCCGUCAAGUGCAACCCCGAGCCGGCGAUGCUGGGCGCGAUGGCGACUCUCGGCGCGGGAUUCGACUGCGCCAGCCGCGCCGAGAUCGAGGCCGUCCUCGCGCUCGGCGUCGUCGGGCCUGGGAGCAUCGUGUACGCGAACCCGUGCAAGCCCGAGGCGCACCUCAGGUACGCGGCCGAGGUGGGCGUCAACCUCGCCACCUACGACACCGAGGACGAGGUGGCCAAGGUGAAGCGCUGCCACCCGGGCUGCGACCUCCUCCUCCGCAUCAAGGGCCCCGACAACCCGGACGCCAAGAUCGACCUCGGCACCAAGUACGGCGCGCGCGCCGACGAGGUGGUCCCGCUCCUGCGGGCCGCGCAGAGCGCGGGGCUCCGCGUCGCCGGCGUGGCGUUCCACGUCGGGGCGUGCACGUCCCGCGUCGACGUGUACCGCGGCGCGAUCGAGGCCGCUCGCGCGGCGUUCGACGCGGCCGCGCAGCUCGGCAUGCCGCCCAUGCGCGUGCUCGACAUCGGCGGCGGAUUCAUGCCGGACGCCACGUUCGAGGGGGCGGCGGAGGCCAUCGGCGACGCGCUCGCGCAGUACUUCCCGCGCGGGUGCGGCGUGGAGAUGAUCGGCGAGCCGGGGCAGUACUUCGCCGAGACGGCAUUCACGCUCGCGGCGCGGGUCAUCGGCAGGCGCACGCGCGGCGAGGUGCGCCAGUACUGGAUCGACGACGGCAUCUACGGCGCCCUCAGCUGCACCAUCCUGGGCGACUACGUGCCGCGCCCCAGGCCGCUCGCCGCCCAGCUUCCGCCCGGCGGCGAGAAGAAGUACGCGUCGACGGUGUUCGGGCCGACGUGCGACUCCCGCGACAAGGUGGUGAGCGGGUACCAGCUGCCGGAGAUGCAGAUGGGGGACUGGCUCGUGUUCGACGGCAUAGGCGCCUACGCCGCCUCGUCGGGCUCCAACUUCAACGGAUUCUUGAUCUCGGACAUAAAGACGCAUUUGGCCUACUCCACCUAG
rnacentral:rRNA from 1 species